AUCCAAAAAUCGAAGAGAAAUACCUUUGGGUCGUGGAGAUAUAAAAGAUGCAAGUUUGGGUGUCUAGAGAGAAAAACGUGAAGAAGAAGAGGGUCUUCUUCUUGGGUUUUUGUUUUCAUAUCUUUCCUCCCUCCAUCUUGAGUUUUCUGAGAGUGUCUCAGAUUUGAAACUCCUCCUUCUACUUUCCAUCUUUGGAAGAGUCCAAAUCAAGAAGAAGGAGGCACCUGAUCAACCAUCAAAGAAGGAUCAGUGCAGUACUAGCAUACUAUGCUGAUUUCCUGAAGCAGGACUUCUGAUCGAGAUUCGUGGGCUCGUGUGGAUGACUCCUAGAGGCUGGACACGUGUGUGGCUUGCAACAUCAUCCUUAAGCCCGGAUCAGCAAGGUUAGAGCAUCUAACUUGCAAGGUAAUAGAUCUGAUCUAUUGUUUAAUACAUACAUUAGAUGUGGUAUAAAAACAUGUUGAUAUGAUCAACAUGUAGUUCAUGCUAUAUUUAUAUAUUUUAAUUUU
rnacentral:lncRNA from 1 species